rnacentral:rRNA from 1 species
GUGGGGAAUUUUGGACAAUGGGCGCAAGCCUGAUCCAGCAAUGCCGCGUGCAGGAAGAAGGCCUUCGGGUUGUAAACUGCUUUUGUACGGAACGAAACGGUCCGGGUUAAUACCCUGGGCUAAUGACGGUACCGUAAGAAUAAGCACCGGCUAACUACGUGCCAGCAGCCGCGGUAAUACGUAGGGUGCAAGCGUUAAUCGGAAUUACUGGGCGUAAAGCGUGCGCAGGCGGUUUUGUAAGACAGGCGUGAAAUCCCCGGGCUCAACCUGGGAACUGCAUUUGUGACUGCAUUGCUGGAGUGCGGCAGAGGGGGAUGGAAUUCCGCGUGUAGCAGUGAAAUGCGUAGAUAUGCGGAGGAACACCGAUGGCGAAGGCAAUCCCCUGGGCCUGCACUGACGCUCAUGCACGAAAGCGUGGGGAGCAAACAGGAUUAGAUACCCGUGUAGUCC